GACGAACGCUGGCGGCGUGCUUAACACAUGCAAGUCGAACGGAAAGGCCCUGCUUUUGUGGGGUGCUCGAGUGGCGAACGGGUGAGUAACACGUGAGUAACCUGCCCUUGACUUUGGGAUAACUUCAGGAAACUGGGGCUAAUACCGGAUAGGAGCUCCUGCUGCAUGGUGGGGGUUGGAAAGUUUCGGCGGUUGGGGAUGGACUCGCGGCUUAUCAGCUUGUUGGUGGGGUAGUGGCUUACCAAGGCUUUGACGGGUAGCCGGCCUGAGAGGGUGACCGGCCACAUUGGGACUGAGAUACGGCCCAGACUCCUACGGGAGGCAGCAGUGGGGAAUAUUGCACAAUGGGCGGAAGCCUGAUGCAGCAACGCCGCGUGCGGGAUGACGGCCUUCGGGUUGUAAACCGCUUUCGCCUGUGACGAAGCGUGAGUGACGGUAAUGGGUAAAGAAGCACCGGCUAACUACGUGCCAGCAGCCGCGGUGAUACGUAGGGUGCGAGCGUUGUCCGGAUUUAUUGGGCGUAAAGGGCUCGUAGGUGGUUGAUCGCGUCGGAAGUGUAAUCUUGGGGCUUAACCCUGAGCGUGCUUUCGAUACGGGUUGACUUGAGGAAGGUAGGGGAGAAUGGAAUUCCUGGUGGAGCGGUGGAAUGCGCAGAUAUCAGGAGGAACACCAGUGGCGAAGGCGGUUCUCUGGGCCUUUCCUGACGCUGAGGAGCGAAAGCGUGGGGAGCGAACAGGCUUAGAUACCCUGGUAGUCCACGCUGUAAACGGUGGGUACUAGGUGUGGGGUCCAUUCCACGGGUUCCGUGCCGUAGCUAACGCUUUAAGUACCCCGCCUGGGGAGUACGGCCGCAAGGCUAAAACUCAAAGGAAUUAACGGGGCCCCGCACAAGCGGCGGAGCAUGCGGAUUAAUUCGAUGCAACGCGUAGAACCUUACCUGGGUUUGACAUGGAUCGGGAGUGCUCAGAGAUGGGUGUGCCUCUUUUGGGGUCGGUUCACAGGUGGUGCAUGCCUGUCGUCAGCUCGUGUCGUGAGAUGUUGGGUUAAGUCCCGCAACGAGCGCAACCCUUGUUCACUGUUGCCAGCACGUUAUGGUGGGGACUCAGUGGAGACCGCCGGGGUCAACUCGGAGGAAGGUGGGGAUGACGUCAAGUCCUCAUGCCCCUUAUGUCCAGGGCUUCACGCAUGCUACAAUGGCUGGUACAGAGAGUGGCGAGCCUGUGAGGGUGAGCGAAUCUCGGAAAGCCGGUCUCAGUUCGGAUUGGGGUCUGCAACUCGACCUCAUGAAGUCGGAGUCGCUAGUAAUCGCAGAUCAGCAACGCUGCGGUGAAUACGUUCCCGGG
rnacentral:rRNA from 1 species